AUUUAUCCUACAAACCAAAAGACACCCCUUUUUAAACAUCCACCCUUUCACUUCUCUUCUCACCUUACACUUCAAAAAAAAAAAGAGGAGAAUGAGAUUGUGAGAGAGAGGGCCGAGAGAGGGAGCUAGAGGUGAGCAAGAAUUUGGGGUUCGUAUUCAACCCUUUCAAGAAUUCACCUAUCAGAAGGUGGUUCGCACGCACCCUAAAAGUCGGAACGAGGAAUUUUACGGAAAUCCUAAGCUUUUGAGGGCGUCGGGCCAUUUGGACGUAUAUGUGCAUUUGUGAAAGCUCACUAGGCUUCAAAUACAAUGAAGUGGAUGGUUUUGUAUUUAGAACAUCCCAAGGAUACGUAAAUGGAGGGAUAAAGUCAUAUAACUACUCCUAUCAUAUUUACUUUUUGUCAUGAAAAAUUAUUUGCA